rnacentral:tRNA from 2 species
GGGCUGGAGAGCGCUGCGGCCGGCGGCGUCACCGGCUCCAGCUUGGUGAUGGCGUGAUAGCCGAUCGGGUCGGCCUCGGCCGGC